AAACCAGACCAACCCCCCACAGCGGCCACCUCAUUGUCGAUUUCAAUCUCAAGGUCCAAGAGGAGGAAGACGGUUGGCCAGAGAAGUAAUUAGCACUGAUUGAACUUCUACCAGAUGCUCUUCUGGAUGCACACACAUGCUGUCCUGGUCGAGUCUUAGCACAAACACCUCCAAGCACCCUGCAGCCCAGGUAACUUCAUACCCAUUUUACAGAUGAGGAAGCUAACUUGGACAAGUCAGAAGGAUUGCCCAUGUCUGGAAGGGAGACCCACAGAAAGGAGAUACCGAGUUCCGGAUAGACUCUGAAGUACAACCCAAGCCUCCUGACUUUUGCUCAAGUCCCUUCUCUGUGUUGGGACCCUGCUCCAACGGCAUAAACAUAUUCCCAUUUAACUGUCACAGCCACCAUCUGGGGACAGGAGUAAGGAAGAAAGAGCGGUACCCC